rnacentral:rRNA from 1 species
GAUGAACGCUAGCGGCAGGCUUAAUACAUGCAAGUCGAGGGACAGCACAGGUAGCAAUACUGGGUGGUAACCGGCAAACGGGUGCGGAACAUGUACACAACCUUCCUUUAAGUGGGGGAUAGCCCAGAGAAAUUUGGAUUAAUACCCCGUAAUAUAGUUGAAUGGCAUCAUUUGAUUAUUAUAGCUACGGCGCUUAAUGAUGGGUGUGCGGCUGAUUAGGUAGUUGGCGGGGUAACGGCCCACCAAGUCUACGAUCAGUAGCUGAUGUGAGAGCAUGAUCAGCCACACGGGCACUGAGACACGGGCCCGACUCCUACGGGAGGCAGCAGUAAGGAAUAUUGGUCAAUGGACGCAAGUCUGAACCAGCCAUGCCGCGUGAAGGAUUAAGGUCCUCUGGAUUGUAAACUUCUUUUAUUUGGGACGAAAAAGGGCCUUUCUAGGUCAACUGACGGUACCAGAUGAAUAAGCACCGGCUAACUCCGUGCCAGCCGCCGCCGUAACAC